AACGCGAAGAACCUUACCUGGGCUCGAAGCGCAGUGGAAUCCGGUGGAAACAUCGGCGCCCCUUAAAAGGCUGCUGCGGAGGUGCUGCAUGGCUGUCGUCAGCUCGUGUCGUGAGAUGUUGGGUUAAGUCCCGCAACGAGCGCAACCCUUAUCUUCAGUUGCUACCAUUUAGUUGAGCACUCUGACGAAACCGCCUCGGAUAACGGGGAGGAAGGUGGGGAUGACGUCAAGUCCUCAUGGCCUUUAUGUCCAGGGCUACACACGUGCUACAAUGGCCGGUACAAACCGUCGCAAACCCGCGAGGGGGAGCUAAUCGGAAAAAGCCGGCCUCAGUUCGGAUUGGAGUCUGCAACUCGACUCCAUGAAGCUGGAAUCGCUAGUAAUCGCGGAUCAGAACGCCGCGGUGAAUACGUUCCCGGGCCUUGUACACACCGGCUAC
rnacentral:rRNA from 1 species